rnacentral:rRNA from 1 species
GCACAAGCGGUGGAUGAUGUGGAUUAAUUCGAUGCAACGACGUAAAACCUUACCUACCCUUGACAUGUCCGGAAUCCCGAAGAGAUUUGGGAGUGCUCGCAAGAGAACCGGAACACAGGUGCUGCAUGGCUGUCGUCAGCUCGUGUCGUGAGAUGUUGGGUUAAGUCCCGCAACGAGCGCAACCCUUGUCAUUAGUUGCCAUCAUUUGGUUGGGCACUCUAAUGAGACCUGCCGGUGACAAACCGGAGGAAGGUGGGGAUGACGUCAAGUCCUCAUGGCCCUUAUGGGUAGGGCUUCACACGUCAUACAAUGGUCGGUACAGAGGGUUGCCAACCCGCGAGGGGGAGCUAAUCCCACAAAGCCGAUCGUAGUCCGGAUCGCAGUCUGCAACUCGACUGCGUGAAGUCGGAAUCGCUAGUAAUCGUGGAUCAGCAUGUCACGGUGAAUACGUUCCCGGGUCUU